rnacentral:rRNA from 1 species
UACGGAGGGUGCAAGCGUUAUCCGGAUUCACUGGGUUUAAAGGGUGCGUAGGCGGGCAGGUAAGUCAGAGGUGAAAUCCCCGGGCUUAACCUGGGAAUGGCAUUUGGGACUGCAAGGCUCGAGUGCGGCAGAGGAGACGUGGAAUUCCUGGUGUAGCAGUGAAAUGCGUAGAUAUCAGGAGGAACACCAAUUGCGAAGGCAGCGUCGCUGGGACGUUACUGACGCUGAGACGCGAAAGCGUGGGGAGCAAACAGG